rnacentral:rRNA from 1 species
GACGAACGCUGGCGGCGUGCUUAACACAUGCAAGUCGAACGGAAAGUCCCUGCUUUUGUGUGGUGCUCGAGUUGCGAACGGGUGAGUAACACGUGAGUAAUCUGCCCUUGGUUUUGUGAUAACUUCAGGAAACUGGGGCUAAUACCGGAUAGGAGCUCCUGCUUCAUGGUUUUGGUUGGAAAGUUUCGGCGGUUGGGGAUGUACUCGCGGCUUAUCAGCUCGCUGGUGGGGUAGUGGCUUACCAAGGCUUUGACGGGUAGCCGGCCUGAGAGGCUGACCGGCCACAUUGGGACUGAGAUACGGCCCAGACGCCUACGGGAGGCAGCAGUGGGGAAUAUUGCACAAUGGGCGGAAGCAUGAUGCAGCAGCGCCGCGUGCGGGAUGACGGCCUUCGGGUUGUAAACCGCUUUCGCCUGUGACGAAGCGUGAGUGACGGUAAUGGGUAAAGAAGCACCGGCUAAUUACGU